GGAAAAUGUCGUCGGGCUACCAUGCAAGUCGAGCGCCCCGCAAGGGGAGCGGCAGACGGGUGAGUAACGCGUGGGAACGUACCUUUUGCUACGGAAUAACUCAGGGAAACUUGUGCUAAUACCGUAUGUGCCCUUCGGGGGAAAGAUUUAUCGGCAAAGGAUCGGCCCGCGUUGGAUUAGCUAGUUGGUGAGGUAAAGGCUCACCAAGGCGACGAUCCAUAGCUGGUCUGAGAGGAUGAUCAGCCACACUGGGACUGAGACACGGCCCAGACUCCUACGGGAGGCAGCAGUGGGGAAUAUUGGACAAUGGGCGCAAGCCUGAUCCAGCCAUGCCGCGUGAGUGAUGAAGGCCCUAGGGUUGUAAAGCUCUUUCACCGGUGAAGAUAAUGACGGUAACCGGAGAAGAAGCCCCGGCUAACUUCGUGCCAGCAGCGGCGGUAAUA
rnacentral:rRNA from 1 species